rnacentral:tRNA from 1 species
CCCAGCAUGGCAUAGUGGUUUGAGUGCUGGACUCUGACUCUGGAAACAGGGUUCAAUUCCCAGCUCUGCCA